GAAGUUGUAGCUCAUUUGUUGAGCGUUGGACUAGUAAUCCAAGGGCCGUCAGUUUGAUACCAGCUCAGCCUCG